rnacentral:rRNA from 1 species
CCUACGGGAGGCAGCAGUGGGGAAUUUUGGACAAUGGGCGCAAGCCUGAUCCAGCAAUGCCGCGUGAGUGAAGAAGGCCUUCGGGUUGUAAAGCUCUUUUGUCAGGGAAGAAACGGGUCUUUCUAAUACAGAGAUCUAAUGACGGUACCUGAAGAAUAAGCACCGGCUAACUACGUGCCAGCAGCCGCGGUAAUACGUAGGGUGCAAGCGUUAAUCGGAAUUACUGGGCGUAAAGCGUGCGCAGGCGGUUUUGUAAGUUUGUCGUGAAAUCCCCGGGCUCAACCUGGGAAUGGCGAUGAAGACUGCAAGGCUAGAGUUUGGCAGAGGGGGGUAGAAUUCCACGUGUAGCAGUGAAAUGCGUAGAUAUGUGGAGGAACACCGAUGGCGAAGGCAGCCCCCUGGGUCAAAACUGACGCUCAUGCACGAAAGCGUGGGGAGCAAACAGGAUUAGAUACCCUGGUAGUCCACGCCCUAAAACGAUGUCUACUAGUUGUCGGUCUUAUUGACUUGGUAACGCAGCUAACGCGUAGAAGUAGACCGCGUGGGGAGUACGGUCGCGAAGAAUUAAAACUUAAAGUAGUAAAUUGGACCGGUCGUAGGAGACGUAGACCGAACGGACGACGACGAGGGAGGAGGG